GGGCUAUUAGCUCAGUUGGCUAGAGCGCACCCCUGAUAAGGGUGAGGUCCCUGGUUCAAAUCCAGGAUGGCCC
rnacentral:tRNA from 1 species